rnacentral:rRNA from 1 species
UACGGAGGGUGCAAGCGUUGUUCGGAAUCAUUGGGCGUAAAGCGCGUGUAGGCGGUCGUUUAAGUUCACUGUGAAAGCUCGGGGCUCAACUCCGGAACGGCAGUGAAAACUGGAUGACUUGAGGGUUGGAGAGGAAAGCGGAAUUCCUGGUGGAGCGGUGAAAUGCGUAGAUAUCAGGAAGAACACCAGUGGCGAAGGCGGCUUUCUGGACAACUUCUGACGCUGAGACGCGAAAGCGUGGGUAGCAAACAGG